AAAAAUUGUUUGAUUACAGAAAUACUCGUUCGAGCUUGACUUAGCCACAAAAUGUUGUUGUAGUAAUUGAAAGAAAAAAUCAGAUUUCAAGACAGACACUACAGUUUUUAUAUAAUUUUUUUCUGCUGGCAUAUAUUAAUUAUUUUUAAUAUUUUUCAACUGACAAAUUGUGACAAAUAUUAUGUGUUUAAAAUUUAAAUAUUAUAAUUGUUUUUUUCAUAUCAUAAUUAUGAGAAGAUAAUGAAAAAAUUUGAAUUUUUAAUAAUAUUAAUUGUCAUUUUUAAAAUUCAAUCAACUUGUGCACGUCUUUUAAAUUGUCAAGAAGAAAAAUAUUGGUGUAUUAAUAUAAAAACAGCAAAUCAAUGUGAUAAAAUUAAUUAUUGCAAAGUGAUUUGGAAUAAAAAAAAAGUGCCAGAUAAUUCGAUUAAAAAAAAAAGUAUUAUCGAAAUAAAUAUGUCGACAUUGAGAUGUGCUCGUCGAUUUAAAGAGCCAAAUGAACUUCGUUUUAU